GUUGCUGGACUAGUCUGGUUCCUUUCAGGUCUUGGGCUGAAUUUUCUCCUUGUGGAGGCUGCCUGAGCAGAGAGUGUGGAAGGCUAUGUACCUGGUUUGGAUUUUUCAGCGAGUCCUGACAAUGUAACAAUUUGUAAAGUGCUCUUGUCUAAAAUUGGAUAAAAUUCAGGCCAGUUUAGUUUUAGGUGACCCCUUCAACCAGCCCUUCUCCAACAGGUGGGAUUCAAAAGAUCCGUUGAUGAAUUGCCUUGCUAAACAAGCGAGCCCUGGGAAAAUGAAGCUUAACAAAGGUGAAAAUCAUCUGUAAAGUUUGCUGGCACUCAUCCCAGUUGUGCGUGUGUGUGAAAAUUACUGUCUCUAAUGAGAUCACCAUGAUACACUUAAUAACCAGCAGUGACCCUAUCAUCCAUGGGAACAGAUAGUCAUCAUGGCCUCCUGGUCUGGACCACAGGAGAGGCGGGUGCAUGCAGCUGAAGGGAGCAGCACAUGCUGCUGAAGGAGAUAGGUUGUCAAGCCC